rnacentral:rRNA from 1 species
UACGUAGGGGGCAAGCGUUGUCCGGAUUCAUUGGGCGUAAAGAGCGUGUAGGCGGCCAGGUAGGUCCGUUGUGAAAACUCGAGGCUCAACCUCGAGACGUCGAUGGAAACCAUCUGGCUAGAGUCCGGAAGAGGAAAGUGGAAUUCCUGGUGUAGCGGUGAAAUGCGCAGAUAUCAGGAAGAACACCAAUGGCGAAAGCAGCUUUCUGGGACGGUACUGACGCUGAGACGCGAAAGCGUGGGGAGCGAACAGG